GACGAACGCUGGCGGCGUGCUUAACACAUGCAAGUCGAACGGUAAGGCCCUUCGGGUACGACGAGUGGCGAACGGGUGGAGUAACACGUGGGUGAUCUGCCCUGCACUUCGGGAUAAGCCUGGGAAACUGGGUCUAAUACCGGAUAGGACCAUGGACUUCACGGUUUGUGGUGGAAAGCUUUUGCGGUGUGGGAUGGGCCCGCGGCCUAUCAGCUUGUUGGUGGGGUAAUGGCCUACCCAAGGCGACGACGGGUAGCCGGCCUGAGAGGGUGUCCGGCCACACUGGGACUGAGAUACGGCCCAGACUCCUACGGGAGGCAGCAGUGGGGAAUAUUGCACAAUGGGCGCAAGCCUGAUGCAGCGACGCCGCGUGAGGGAUGACGGCCUU
rnacentral:rRNA from 1 species